AUUGAACGCUGGCGGCAGGCUUAACACAUGCAAGUCGAGCGGGGUGAUGGUGCUUGCACUAUCACUUAGCGGCGGACGGGUGAGUAAUGCUUAGGAAUCUUCCUAUUAGUGGGGGACAACAUCUCGCAAGGGAUGCUAAUACCGCAUACGUCCUACGAGAGAAAGCAGGGGAUCACUUGUGACCUUGCGCUAAUAGAUGAGCCCAAGUCGGAUUAGCUAGUUGGUGGGGUAACGGCCUACCAAGGCGACUAUCUGUAGCGGGUCUGAGAGGAUGAUCCGCCACACUGGCACUGAGACGCGGCCCAGACUCCUACGGGAGGCAGCAGUGGGGAAUAUUGGACAAUGGGGGGAACCCUGAUCCAGCCAUGCCGCGUGUGUGAAGAAGGCCUUAUGGUUGUAAAGCACUUUAAGCGAGGAGGAGGCUCUUUUGGUUAAUCCCCAAGAUGAGUGGACGUUACUCGCAGAAUAAGCACCGGCUAACUCUGUGCCAGCCGCCGCCGUAACAC
rnacentral:rRNA from 1 species